rnacentral:rRNA from 1 species
GACGAACGCUGGCGGCGUGCUUAACGCAUGCAAGUCGAACGGAAAGGGCCUGCCUUUGUCGGGUGCUUGAGUGGCGAACGGGUGAGUAACACGUGAGCAAUCUGCCCCUGACUCUGGGAUAACCUCUGGAAACUGGGGCUAAUACUGGAUAGGAGCUCCUGCUGCAUGGUGAGGGUCGGAAAGUAACGGCGGUCAGGGAUGGACUCGCGGCUUAUCAGCUUGUUGGUGGGGUAGCGGCUUACCAAGGCGUCGACGGGUAGCCGGCCUGAGAGGGUGACCGGCCACAUUGGGACUGGGAUACGGCCCAGACUCCUACGGGAGGCAGCAGUGGGGAAUAUUGCACAAUGGGCGGAAGCCUGAUGCAGCAACGCCGCGUGCGGGAUGACGGCCUUCGGGUUGUAAACCGCUUUCGGCAGGGACGAAGCGAAAGUGACGGUAAUUGGUGAAAAAGCGCCGGCUAACUACGUG